UGCAGUCUGCAACUCGACUGCACGAAGCUGGAAUCGCUAGUAAUCGCGGAUCAGCACGCCGCGGUGAAUACGUUCCCGGGCCUUGUACACACCGCCCGUCACACCAUGGAAGUCUGCAAUGCCCGAAGCCGGUGGCCUAACCACUUAUGUGGAAGGAGCCGUCUAAGGCAGGGCAGAUGACUGGGGUGAAGUCGUAACAAGGUAGC
rnacentral:rRNA from 1 species